UACGGAGGGUGCGAGCGUUGUCCGGAAUCACUGGGCGUAAAGGGCGCGUAGGCGGCCCGCGCAAGCGUGCGGUGAAAGCCCGGGGCUCAACCCCGGGUCGGCCGUACGGACUGCGGGGCUCGAGCACUGUAGGGCAGAUGGAAUUCCGGGUGUAGCGGUGGAAUGCGUAGAGAUCCGGAGGAACGCCGGUGGCGCAAGCGGCCACCUGGGCCUGACCUGACGCUGAGGUGCGAAAGCGUGGGGAGCGAUCCGG
rnacentral:rRNA from 1 species